rnacentral:rRNA from 1 species
UAAGACUGGGAUAACUUCGGGAAACCGGAGCUAAUGCCGGAUAACAUAUAGAACCGCAUGGUUCUGUAGUGAAAGAUGGUUUUGCUAUCACUUAUAGAUGGACCCGCGCCGUAUUAGCUAGUUGGUAAGGUAAUGGCUUACCAGGGCGACGAUACGUAGCUGACCUGAGAGGGUGAUCGGCCACACUGGAACUGAGACACGGUCCAGACUCCUACGGGAGGCAGCAGUAGGGAAUCUUCCGCAAUGGGCGAAAGCCUGACGGAGCAACGCCGCGUGAGUGAUGAAGGUUUUCGGAUCGUAAAACUCUGUUAUUAGGGAAGAACAAAUGCGUAAGUAACUGUGCGCAUCUUGACGGUACCUAAUCAGAAAGCCACGGCUAACUACGUGCCAGCAGCCGCGGUAAUACGUAGGUGGCAAGCGUUAUCCGGAAUUAUUGGGCGUAAAGCGCGCGUAGGCGGUUUCUUAAGUCUGAUGUGAAAGCCCACGGCUCAACCGUGGAGGGUCAUUGGAAACUGGGAAACUUGAGUGCAGAAGAGGAAAGUGGAAUUCCAUGUGUAGCGGAGAAAUGCGCAGAGAUAUGGAGGAACACCAGUGGCGAAGGCGACUUUCUGGUCUGUAACUGACGCUGAUGUGCGAAAGCGUGGGGAUCAAACAGGAUUAGAUACCCUGGUAGUCCACGCCGUAAACGAUGAGUGCUAAGUGUUAGGGGGUUUCCGCCCCUUAGUGCUGCAGCUAACGCAUUAAGCACUCCGCCUGGGGAGUACGACCGCAAGGUUGAAACUCAA